rnacentral:rRNA from 1 species
AGGGAGCCUGAGAAACGGCUACCACAUUCAAGGAAG